rnacentral:snoRNA from 1 species
CAACAGUGGGAUAGCCCUGGAGGUCACUCUUUCUCAGGCUCUGAACCAAGUGGCAUACAUGAGCAAGGGCUCUGCCCCAUACAUACAUCCCUUUCACAAUCGUGUGAGAAGAAUCUGGCUUGAGUUUGUCCUGCAUAU